rnacentral:rRNA from 1 species
UGGGGAAUAUUGCACAAUGGGCGCAAGCCUGAUGCAGCCAUGCCGCGUGUAUGAAGAAGGCCUUCGGGUUGUAAAGUACUUUCAGCGAGGAGGAAGGCGGUAAGGUUAAUAACCUUAUCGAUUGACGUUACUCGCAGAAGAAGCACCGGCUAACUCCGUGCCAGCAGCCGCGGUAAUACGGAGGGUGCAAGCGUUAAUCGGAAUUACUGGGCGUAAAGCGCACGCAGGCGGUCAGUCAAGUCGGAAGUGAAAGCCCCGGGCUCAACCUGGGAACUGCAUUCGAAACUGGCAGGCUAGAGUCUUGUAGAGGGGGGUAGAAUUCCAGGUGUAGCGGUGAAAUGCGUAGAGAUCUGGAGGAAUACCGGUGGCGAAGGCGGCCCCCUGGACAAAGACUGACGCUCAGGUGCGAAAGCGUGGGGAGCAAACA